GGCUUGCUGGUCUAGUGGUAUGAUUCUCGCUUCGGGUGUGAGAGGUCACGGGUUCGAUUCCCGUGCAAGCCC
rnacentral:tRNA from 1 species